rnacentral:rRNA from 1 species
UGGGGAAUAUUGGACAAUGGGCGCAAGCCUGAUCCAGCCAUACCGCGUGGGUGAAGAAGGCCUUCGGGUUGUAAAGCCCUUUUGUUGGGAAAGAAAAGCAGCCGGUUAAUACCCGGUUGUUCUGACGGUACCCAAAGAAUAAGCACCGGCUAACUUCGUGCCAGCAGCCGCGGUAAUACGAAGGGUGCAAGCGUUACUCGGAAUUACUGGGCGUAAAGCGUGCGUAGGUGGUUGUUUAAGUCUGUCGUGAAAGCCCUGGGCUCAACCUGGGAAUGGCGAUGGNAACUGGGCGACUAGAGUGUGGCAGAGGGUAGUGGAAUUCCUGGUGUAGCAGUGAAAUGCGUAGAGAUCAGGAGGAACAUCCGUGGCGAAGGCGACUGCCUGGGCCAACACUGACACUGAGGCACGAAAGCGUGGGGAGCAAACA